rnacentral:rRNA from 1 species
CAUUACCGAGUUUACAACUCCCAAACCCCUGUGAACAUACCUUAAUGUUGCCUCGGCGGAUCAGCCCGCGCCCCGUAAAACGGGACGGCCCGCCAGAGGACCCAAACUCUAAUGUUUCUUAUUGUAACUUCUGAGUAAAACAAACAAAUAAAUCAAAACUUUCAACAACGGAUCUCUUGGUUCUGGCAUCGAUGAAGAACGCAGCAAAAUGCGAUAAGUAAUGUGAAUUGCAGAAUUCAGUGAAUCAUCGAAUCUUUGAACGCACAUUGCGCCCGCUGGUAUUCCGGCGGGCAUGCCUGUUCGAGCGUCAUUUCAACCCUCAAGCCCUCGGGUUUGGUGUUGGGGAUCGGCUCUGCCUUCUGGCGGUGCCGCCCCCGAAAUACAUUGGCGGUCUCGCUGCAGCCUCCAUUGCGUAGUAGCUAACACCUCGCAACUGGAACGCGGCGCGGCCAUGCCGUAAAACCCCAACUUCUGAAUGUUGACCUCGGAUCAGGUAGGAAUACCCGCUGAACUUAAGCAUAUCAAUA